CACAAGACUGAAUCUGGAUCACCAUCUAGUGGCAGACGGGUGAGUAACACGUGGGUGACCUACCUUUUCGUUGGGGAUAACAGUUGGAAACGAUUGCUAAUACCGAAUAAAAUGUAAGAGUCAAUUUUACAUUGAAAGGAGCCUUUAAAGCUUUGCGAUUAGAUGGGCCUGCGGCGUAUUAACUAGUUGGUGAGGUAAUGGCUUACCAAGGUGACGAUGCGUAGCCGAACUGAGAGGUUGAUCGGCCACACUGGGACUGAGACACGGCCCAGACUCC
rnacentral:rRNA from 1 species